rnacentral:rRNA from 1 species
GACGUAGGUGGCAAGCGUUGUCCGGAUUUACUGGGCGUAAAGCGUGUGUAGGCGGACCUUUAAGUAGAAAGUGAAAGGUAGGAGCUCAACUCCUACAUUGCUCUCUAUACUGGAGGUCUUGAGUGUCGGAGAGGAAGAUGGAACUGCACGUGUAGCGGUGAAAUGCGCAGAGUAUCAGGAGGAACACCGGUGGGCGAAGGCGGGUCUCUGGGUAGUAACUGACGCUGGAGGAACGAAAGCCGUGGGUAGCGAACAGG